rnacentral:miRNA from 10 species
CUGCUUUCCUCUGGUGACUGGA